rnacentral:rRNA from 1 species
GCUCAAGAAACUACAAUAGAAUUGACGGGGCCCGCACAAGCGGUGGAGUAUGUGGUUUAAUUCGAUGCAACGCGAAGAACCUUACCUGGUCUUGACAUCCCGGAGACCCUUAGGAAACUAGGGGGUGCUUCCAUCUGGAAGAAUCUGGAGACAGGUGCUGCAUGGCUGUCGUCAGCUCGUGUCGUGAGAUGUUGGGUUAAGUCCCGCAACGAGCGCAACCCUUGCCUUUAGUUGCCAGCAGUUCGGCUGGGCACUCUAAAGGGACUGCCGGUGUUAAACCGGAGGAAGGUGGGGAUGACGUCAAGUCCUCAUGGCCUUUAUGACCAGGGCUACACACGUACUACAAUGGCCGAUACAAAGGGCAGCGACACUGCGAGGUGAAGCCAAUCCCGUAAAAUCGGUCUCAGUCCGGAUUGGAGUCUGCAACUCGACUCCAUGAAGUUGGAAUCGCUAGUAAUCGUGGAUCAGCAUGCCACGGUGAAUACGUUCCCGGGCCUU